rnacentral:rRNA from 1 species
AUUACGAACGCUGGCGGCAGGCCUAACACAUGCAAGUCGAACGAAGCCUUCGGGCUCAGUGGCAGGGACGGGUGAGUAACGCGUGGGAACGUGCCCUUUGGUUCGGAAUAGCCCCGGGAAACUGGGCGAGUAAUACCGGAUAAGCCCUACGGGGGAAAGAUUUAUCGCCAAAGGAUCGGCCCGCGUUACGGAUUAGGUAGUUGGUGGGGUAAUGGCCUACCAAGCCGACGAUCCAUAGCUGGUUUGAGAUUGGAUGAUCAGCCACACUGGGACUGAGACACGGCCCAGACUCCUACGGGAGGCAGCAGUGGUCGGAAUCUUAGACAAUGGGGGAAACCCUGAUCUAGCCAUGCCGCGUGAUCGAUGAAGGCCUGCUAGGGUUGUAAAGAUCUUUCAGCUGGGAAGAUAAUGACUGUACCAGCAGAAGAAGCCCCGCUGCUAACUCCGUGCCAGCAGCCGCGGUAAUACGGAGGGGGCUAGCGUUGUUCGGAAUUACUCGGGGUGUAAAGCGCACGUAGGCGGAACAGAAAGUCAGAGGUGAAAUCCCAGGGCUCAACCUCUUGGAACUGCCUUUGAAACUCCUGUUCUUGAGGUCGAGAGAGGUGAGUGGAAUUCCGAGUGCCUAGAGGUAAAAUUCGU